rnacentral:lncRNA from 1 species
GGUAGAACCCAGGUAAGGAAAGGGCUCUGUAUAGGCAGAAGACCCAAAGAUACAGUAGGUAUCUCACAUUGGACAGGAAAAGGAGGUGACACGGGGUAAGAAAAAGACAAGAGAUACCACACCACCACCACCACAUACUUGGCUUACUUGAAAAAUCUCACUCAGCCAAACAGAUACAAGUGUCCCUUCGGAUCUUAUUAUUUCUACAGCUGUGACUUAAGUGCUGCUUAUCUUUCCUCCAGGAGAUUCCUUGGAAUGAAACCAAUGGGAGUCCAGGCUUUGGGAGAGUCUCAUCAGAGCAGAUGGGCCAGCAGCAGCCAGAAAGCUUGUUGCCUUUGGCUGAGAGCACCAUCCUGGAAGUGAACAUCUUGUGAGUAAACCCCAGCAGGCUCAGCCUUCGGCCUGAGUGAAGUGGCCUGCUUCUCCUUGAAGAAGGACCUUGUGUUCUCCCACUUUUCCCCUCCCUUCUUGCACAUGUUGAAAAUCCCACUUCUGAGAGCACUCUUCAACUGAAAACCAUGUUGACCAUGAGCAGCCCUGGGAGAUGGCUUCUUAUUGCUUUAGGUCUCUUGGUAUAUGGAAGUGCGUGGCCUGGAGGGCCAGAAGGCCUGAGUUCUGGUUGCUACACAACUACAAAUUUUCUCUGGGACCCUGUUUCCUUGGGACCAAAUUGUUCCUCUGUGGGCCACAGCUUCCUCCACUGUAAGGUUGUUUAUAAUAAGAAUAGCUGCCAUUUAUGAAAUGCUCACUAUGUUCCAGACAUUAUCUCAUUGAAUUCUUUCAACAGUCCUAUGACAUUUGUCCUAUUAUUGUCUUACUUUACAAAUAAGGAAACUGAGGCUUAGCAUUUUCAUACCCUAAUCACCCUUUUUAAAUUGCCAACUGUGUCUAGGCAUAGUGGCCUGUGCCUAUACUCUCAGAUACUUGGGAAGCUGAGGCAGGAAGAUGGCUUGAGCCCAGGAGUUUGAGAUCAACCUGGCCAACAUAGGAAGGUCACAUCUUAAAAAAAAUCCCUACCCCUGGCCAACACUCUUUCUCUGCUUUAUUUUAGCUAUAUCAUUUAAUACCACCUGAAAUGCCACAUAGUUUAUUUUUCUGUUUGUCCUUACCCGCAUAAGACUGUAAACUCCAUUAGGAAAUGGAUUUUGUCUUUUUGUUAUUGUUAUUAUUGUUCAUUUUCUGUGUCCCCAGGGCCUAGAAUUAUGCCUGGAACGCUGUAGACAUUCAAAUAUUGGUUGAACGAAAAACUCAUCAAAUGAAUUCUUGAUAGGAUUGUAAAUUGGCAUAGACUCUAAGGAAGUCAGUUUAGCAAUAAUAACAUUUAACAUACACUAACCUUUUGACCCCACAACACCAGAAUUAUUUUAUUCUAUACAUAAUAUGUUCAUGAAUGUGCCUACGACCAUAAGUGCAAGGAUGUUUACCGCAACAGUUUCCUACAAAGACUAGAAACAAUCAAUAUGUUCAUUAAUAAGGGAGCCUAAUUAAAUAAAUGGAUAAGUUCCUACAGUAGAUUCUGUGUAGAGGUAGAAAAGGAUGAAGUAAUCUGCAUGCACUGAUACACAACAACCUAAGAAAUAUUUUAAGUAAAAAGGCAGAGUAAAAAAACAGUAUAUUACUUCCUUCCAUUUGUAUUAAAAGGUAGGAGAGAUCUUAAGAAAUACUUGUUUAUGCCUAGACUAUUUCCAGAAGACAAAAAAAAUUUGCCUUGAAGAAGGGGACCAGAAAAUCUAGGCAUGGGUAGUGAAUAAACUCCUAUUAAAAUAUACUUCACAAGCCAGGCAUUGUGGUGUAACACCUGUAAUCUCAGCAGCUGGGGAGACUGAGGCAGGAAGAUCUCGAGUUCAAAGUCAGCCUCAGCAACCACGAGGUGCUAAGCAACUCAGUGUGACGCUGCCUCUAAAUAAAAUACAAAAUAGGGUUGGGGAUGUGGCUCAGUGAUUAAGUGCCCCUGAGUUCAAUUCCUGGUACAAAACAAACAAAUAUAUAUAUAUAUAUAUAUAUAUAUAUAUAUAUAUAUAUAUAUAUAUAUAUAUAAUCAAAGUUUUCUAUUUUAACCCUUUUUAAAUGUAUACUUAAAUGGCAUUAAUUAUAUUAAUUAUAUUUACAAUAUUGUGCAAACAGUCACAAAUGUGUAUAUAUAUGUAUUUAUUUAUUUCACAAACUAUGCAAUUGACCUUUUUUUUUUUUUUUGGUGCUGAGGAUUGAACCCAGAGCAUUGUGCAUGCUAGGCAAACACUCUAACAACUGAGCUAUAUCUCCAACCCUGCAAUUGACCUUUUUAAAAUGUACAAUUCAAUAGUUUUUGGUAUGUCAGAUUAACUUUUGAAGAUUAUGAUAAAAAUGUGUAUGUAAUAAAGUUUCCU